GCCAGGGUGUGAGGGGCCUGGUGUCAGAAGCUAAAGCUUCAUUAGAACGGAGAGACUUUGACCUCUGGACUAAUCCACUGUCUCUAAUGCAGAAUUUCACAGAGGGACAUAGCUUCCCAGACUGUCUCAGGGCUGACGCAUGUGGUUAUGUCACAGAAGGCAGGGGGCCGAGCGCAUCUCAGCACAUCAGACAGUAUGAACCCAAGAGAGCAGACCUUCCCCCUAAUAGUAAACGCAGAAUGCAAAAAGUAACUAACUUCGGCUGACCCCUGAAGCUCAAGUCAUAUAGCAAAAAAUGGAAAGCUUGAACCGGAUGCUUGCUGAUCCAAACGCAGCGUUCUUAUCCUGAAGUGACUGCCUCACAACAGACAGGCCGACCUUGAAAUUGCUGCGUCGCCAUGGUGAUCUGGAGUCCCUGUUCCUCCUGCCCCCUCCGAUGGGGUUUUCAAAGCAGGGGCUUUGGAAAGCAUCCUGGGGAAGAUGGCUCAGCAGUUAAGAACACUGGCUACUCUUCUAGAGGACCCAGGUUUGAUUCCCAGCACCCACAGGGCAGCUCAUAACUGUAAUUUUAAUUCCAGGGGUCCCAGGCCCUUUUCUGGCCUCUGAAGGCAUCGGGCACACACAUGGUUUAC